AUACGGAGGGUGCAAGCGUUAUGCGGAAUCACUGGGCGUAAAGGACGCGUAGGCGGGUUGGCAAGUCAGAUGUGAAAUCCUACAGCUCAACUGUAGAACUGCACUUGAAACUACAGACCUAGAGUAUGGAAGGGGCAGAUGGAAUUAGUGGUGUAGGGGUAAAAUCCGUAGAUAUCACUAGGAAUACCGAAAGCGAAGGCGAUCUGCUGGGACAUUACUGACGCUGAGGCGUGAAAGCGUGGGGAGCAAACAGGAUUAGAUACCCUAGUAGUCC
rnacentral:rRNA from 1 species